GGGGGAUUAGCUCAGCUGGGAGAGCGCGGGCUUUGCAAGCCUGAGGUCAGGGGUUCGAUCCCCCUAUCCUCCACCA
rnacentral:tRNA from 1 species